rnacentral:misc_RNA from 1 species
CUGCUGCGACUGGAACAGCGCCGGCCGCCCGAUCUUCGAGAUGCCGUCGGGGCCGCGCGUGAGCCAGAUCGCAUUGAUCAUGACCAGCGUGACGAUCUGCUGGAACGAGAUCGUGACCAGCUGGGGCGUGCUCAGGCGGAGCAAUCCUCCGGCGGCCAGCGCCAGUAGCGAACCGGCCACAAGGCAAAUCCAGAAAUUGAUCUGGUAAUCAGCCGUGCCCAAUCCGACGGCAUAGGCGCCCAAUCCGAAGAACGCCGCCUGUGCCAGAUUGAUCUGUCCGCACAACCCGAGCACGACCGUCAGACCGAAUACCGCGAUGGCAAACGUCGCCGCCUGCAUCAGAAUAUUGAGGACGUAACCAUCGAAGUUCAUGGUCGCCGCGGCGAACACGGCAACCGCAGCGAGGAGGAAGUACGGCAGAUGUCGGAGCACAAGCGGCGUCGAGCGCAGGGUCGCGGUGACAGGUAUGUUCUGGCUCGGCAUGCUCAUGCUUUUUCCNNNNNNNNNAUGCCUUGCGGACGGAAGACCAGGAACGCGAUCAGCACGAGGAAUGCGAACGCAUCCUUGUACGGAACCGACACAUAGGCGGCACCGAAGGUCUCAAUGAUGCCGAGU